AAAAAAAGGGAAGAUCAUUCUGUUUCUUUUUUCUAAAAGAAAAGCAGUGGCUCUGGUUUUUUUUAACCCAUUAUUUGCGCCGCCGUUCAACCGAGCGCCAAGGCCCCGAUUGUGACGGAGGUGGCACCGGCUCGACGACUUCGGCGAUUAGGUGAGUUUCCCCUUUCCCUUUUAUAUUUUAAGAGAAAAAUAAAUAAAAAAUAAAGGAAAAAAAUAAAAACAAAACCGAUAACUAAGAAUGACGAACACCAAAUAAAUAAAUGAAAAAAAACCUUUUUGUAUUCAAAAUGAUCUCUUUGUAUCUCUAUCCCCCCUGAUACAGAUUUUCAUCGGCUUUAUAUAGCCGAUUAACACCAAAAAUCCGAAAAAAAUCAAAAACCCCACUUCUUUCCGUUAUUUGCUGCGUUUGUGUCCCCCUUUUUCACAGGUUUGGUGACCGUGGAGUGCGCGCGACGAGCGCGGAGUGACAAGUCGCGGCUUGUGGGCGCUGUUGCGACGUGCGCGUGGGAGCUGCUGCGCCUAGGGUUCCUGCUGGUGCUUUGGCUAGCAAGCUUGGUUUAGUAACUUGGGCCAUUGAGUUUCAAUUAUUGGGUUUUAGUUUACAUUUGUUUUUUUAUUUGUAUUUGGGCUGGGUUUAGUAGGUUGGGUCUAGUAUUUGGGCCUAUUUAUUUGCUUGGGCCUUGGCAUUAUUGGGCUUGUACAAACUUGACUUUAAUUUUUAUUGAAAUUUUAUAUUUUAAAAUUAAAGGGAACAUUUCACCAUUUAAGUUUAAUGGGAAAAAUCGAAACCCCGUAAGUUAGAGUACAAUUUCUCGAAUCACCCAAAAAGCGAAAUGUUACCUUAUAACGAAACUUCUUUUAUUAUUUUGAAAUUCAAAAAGGGUUCUUUGCUAUUUAGGCCUAACAAAAAAAUUUGAAACCCCGUAAGUUAG
rnacentral:lncRNA from 1 species